GGGGAUGAAAGGGGCCAGCCGCAUGCAGUCGUAGCAGGUAGCCGUAUAAUAUGCUGAGAACGUAUGCUAAGGGUGAGUAAACGUAUCCAACCUACCGUUUACUCGGGGAUAGCCUUUCGAAAGAAAGAUUAAUACCCGAUAGUAUAAAGAGUUCGCAUGUUCUCUUUAUUAAAGGAUUCCGGUAAUCGAUGGGGAUGCGUUCCAUUAGAUAGUUGGUGAGGUAACGGCUCACCAAGUCUUCGAUGGAUAGGGGUUCUGAGAGGAAGGUCCCCCACAUUGGAACUGAGACACGGUCCAAACUCCUACGGGAGGCAGCAGUGAGGAAUAUUGGUCAAUGGGCGUUAGCCUGAACCAGCCAAGUAGCGUGAAGGAUGACUGCCCUAUGGGUUGUAAACUUCUUUUAUAAGGGAAUAAAAUGGGGAACGUGUUCCCCUUUGCAUGUACCUUACGAAUAAGGAUCGGCUAACUCCUUGCCGUCGGCCGCGGGAACACGGAGGAUCCCCGCGUUAUCCGGAUUUAAUGCCUUAUGUGCCGCGCUUUGGGGGGGCCCCGUCAU
rnacentral:rRNA from 1 species